UUGUCCAGGACAAUUCUCAGCAACAAAAGAGUGAUCAAAUUAAGAUCCUACAUCUGUCUGUCGAGGGCUUCCUUGGCAACAGGUUAAAAGAGGUAGGUAGAAUGGCUUGUUCUAUGGAUAGCCCACCUCACAUACCACAGCUGCACCGGACACUGCAAAGGUGUGAAAAAAACACUGCAACUACACCAUGUGCAGACCAGACAAGAAGAACAGAGACCGACACUGAAACAAACCAGAUGUGUGUGUGUGUGUGUGUGUGUGUGUGUGUGUGUGUGUGUGUGUGAGAGAAAGGUGAUGUGGUUUGAUGGCUUCGGUGGGGAUUACAACAUGAAAGAAAGUAGCAGAAAAAGGAUGUAAAGAGGGUUAGAAAGUAAGAUAAGAUUUUUUUUCAUCAAAAGUUUGAAAUCUAGAUAAAGAACAUUUGGUUCAUUCAUAAUGAAAACCUUCCGCAUUUAAGAUGCCAUAUGUCUGUGGCAGAGUUAUUGCAAAUGAUAUAUCUCUUUUUUCAUGGGCCUAAUGGGAAAGACGUAACUUAACUGUAAAAAUGUGAACACAACCAGUCAUAAUGUUUUUAUCUGAUUGUCAGAAAAGCCACCUGCUCAAGUUUUUCUACUCCAAAAUCAUUCCAGCAUCCAAACAGUGCACUGUGUGCACCUGCCAUUUGAUGAAUGGAAAGACACAAUUGUUACAAAUUGCUUAGAGGUGGAUCUUUGCUAUAAAAGAUCUCAGUUGCCAUUUUGUUGACACUCUCAGAAUUAAUUUAUAGACACUGAAUUGAUCUGAGAGUCAAAGGGCUAUGGUGAAGCUUUAUAUUAUUAAAAGAUGAAGUGUAAAGUAUAA